rnacentral:rRNA from 1 species
GAUGAACGCUGGCGGCGUGCCUAAUACAUGCAAGUCGAGCGAACAGACGAGGAGCUUGCUCCUUUGACGUUAGCGGCGGACGGGUGAGUAACACGUGGGUAACCUACCUAUAAGACUGGGAUAACUUCGGGAAACCGGAGCUAAUACCGGAUAACAUGUUGAACCGCAUGGUUCAACAGUGAAAGACGGUUUUGCUGUCACUUAUAGAUGGAUCCGCGCCGCAUUAGCUAGUUGGUAAGGUAACGGCUUACCAAGGCAACGAUGCGUAGCCGACCUGAGAGGGUGAUCGGCCACACUGGAACUGAGACACGGUCCAGACUCCUACGGGAGGCAGCAGUAGGGAAUCUUCCGCAAUGGGCGAAAGCCUGACGGAGCAACGCCGCGUGAGUGAAGAAGGUCUUCGGAUCGUAAAACUCUGUUAUUAGGGAAGAACAAAUGUGUAAGUAACUAUGCACGUCUUGACGGUACCUAAUCAGAAAGCCACGGCUAACUACGUG